rnacentral:rRNA from 1 species
CAGUCGCCGCGGGAAUACGUAGGUGGCAAGCGUUAUCCGGAAUUAUUGGGCGUAAAGCGCGCGUAGGCGGUUUUUUAAGUCUGAUGUGAAAGCCCACGGCUCAACCGUGGAGGGUCAUUGGAAACUGGAAAACUUGAGUGCAGAAGAGGAAAGUGGAAUUCCAUGUGUAGCGGUGAAAUGCGCAGAGAUAUGGAGGAACACCAGUGGCGAAGGCGACUUUCUGGUCUGUAACUGACGCUGAUGUGCGAAAGCGUGGGGAUCAAACAGGAUUAGAGACCCCAGUAGUCCCUGUCUCUUAUAC